CCUACGGGAGGCAGCAGUGGGGAAUAUUGCACAAUGGGGGAAACCCUGAUGCAGCGACGCCGCGUGAGUGAAGAAGUAAUUCGUGACGUAAAGCUAUAUCAGCAGGGAAGAAAAUGACGGUACUUGAGUAAUAAGCCCCGGCUAACUACGUUCCAGCAGCCGCGGUAAUACGUAGGGGGCAAGCGUUAUCCGGAGUUACUGGGUGUAAAGGGAGCGUAGACGGUGUGCCAAGUCUGUAGUGAGAGGCCGCAGCUUAACUGCAGAAUUGCUUUGGAAACUGGUGACCUUGAGUGCAGAAGGGGUAUGCGGAAUUCCUGGUGUAGCGGUGAAAUGCGUAGAUAUUAGGAGGAACACCGGUGGCGAAGGCAGCUUACUAGACCGUAACUGACAUUGAGGCUCGAAAGCGUGGGGAGCAAACAGGAUUAGAUACCCUAGUAGUC
rnacentral:rRNA from 1 species